rnacentral:rRNA from 1 species
UACAGAGGGGGCAAGCGUUAUUCGGAAUUAUUGGGCGUAAAGGGCGCGUAGGCGGCCUGGCAAGUGGAAGGUGAAAUCCCUCGGCUUAACCGAGGAACUGCCUCCCAAACUGCUUGGCUUGAGACCAGGAGAGGUGAGUGGAAUUCCCAGUGUAGCGGUGAAAUGCGUAGAUAUUGGGAGGAACACCAGUGGCGAAGGCGGCUCACUGGCCCGGUACUGACGCUGAGGUGCGAAAGCGUGGGGAGCAAACAGG